GAAUUUCUGCUUCUUCACAUCAAGUUGCAAGCCCUGCUAAGACUCCUGACUAUGAGGUCUCUGAUCCUUGGGAAAAACAGAGGCGGGAGAAGAUGAUGACAUGCCAUCGGACACACCGUCCCCAGGUCAAGAAUUUCUGCUUCUUAGUACCCAUCCGAUAAAGGUUUGAUAUCAAGGAUAUACAAUGCACUGGUUGAACUCCACAAGAAGAAAACUGCCAACCCGAUCAAAAAAUGGUGUGAUGAAAUAAACAAACAGAAACUUUCCCAAAGAAGAAAUCUGAAAGGCUGAGAAGUACAUGAGAAAAUGCUCAACAUCACUAAUCAUCAGGGAGAUGCAGAUCAAAACAACAAUGAGAUAUCAUCUCACACCACAGAGACUGGCCCACAUCCCAAAAAACA